rnacentral:misc_RNA from 1 species
GGCCGUUCUGGAAUUCCAACUACAGGGAGCAGAGGAAGAAGAUUCAGCAAGAGUACGAACGCCGUCGGCAGCAACUCCACGACCUCUGCCUUGCUCUUAAGGCUGAGUCUGUUAUCGACCUGCAGGAGAUUCUGUGUUGCAUGGUUCUUUCCGAAUGCGUUUACAAGAGACCUGCAAGCGAGUUAGUUCGAGCUGUGAAUAAAUU